ACUUUUCAAUACACCUCUAGCUUCCAAUUGUUUUGCCUAGAGACUUUAAGGCCUAUGACUGCCAGAAUGAAAGAUUGUUACCUCUUUUCCCUUGCUUAUUAAGAUGGCCAGAGGGUGUGAUGGCUCCUACCUGACUGAUACAAUUGAAAUCAAAGACUUGCCAAGUUAUACCAGCAACUCCAGCAAAACUGUGAACUUACUGGCCUUGGAGGACUAUGGAUUGAAACACACAAAACAUCUUUGGCUGUGCAUGCCCUUCACACUGGCUGCCUAGUCCCCUCACAGAAGAUUGUACCAUGUGGUAGUUGGCGUAAGAAACCAUUGUGUAUAUGAAUUUUGUCAUGAGGACCUAGUGGUCAGCACUCUUGCACAUUACAGAACAAGGAAAAUAUAGUAUUUAUAAACUCUUCAGCAGUCCCUAUUAGGGAGCCCAAAUUCAAUUCACCUAAACGGGAAAAGUGCAAAUAUAACAAAGGAUUAGAUCAGUUAUCAAGCUAAAUGAAUCCUAAAGCAUAUUGCCUUCUAAACUAAUUUUAUUCAAUACAUAGCUUUAAGAUUACUAUGUAGAUGGACUUUAUUUUUUUCAAUUAGCUUUGUGCCACUCAGGAAUACAAAAAAUGUUUCAGAUAUCUUUUUUAAUCCAUUGUUUGUUCCCAAAUAUAUAUAAACUUCUUUCAAUUUUAAGCUAUAAUUCUGUUGCACACUGUGAAUAUAAAGUCAGCUGAAUCAUAAUGUCUUGUUCAUCCAGCUUCUGUGAACAGGUAGACAUUGACUGGAAUCUUUCCAAGCCCUUGGAAAUGGAAAUUUUUAGCUAUUGGUUAAGGCAACACUCUUUGCAUCUGAAGCAGUGAAUACGAUGUUAAUGCUUAAGCUAUCUUAAUUUUCCAAAUGCUAAUGGCAUAGUUGAAAGUGUUAAUAAUAUGACUAUAUCAGAUCUUGACUUUAGGGGGGCUUAAUUUAUCCUAUCCUUGAGCAAACCAUCUGGCAUUGCUAAGCCCAAAGUUGCCUGGGCCUGUGUAACACUGGGUGGGUUUUAAUUCUUUUGUCUAGCCUAGUAAAUCAUUCAAUAUGGUUAGUUUUUGAAUGCCAGCUUGUUUUCAAAACUGAAAUAUUAAGAGCUGAUGAUAUAAACCAAAAUUGAAACUAGAAGAAAUUUCUCCUUCCUUAUUUUACACAGAAGUGGGCUGGAGCUGCUGCAAUCACGGGGAUGUCUGAUAUUGCAACAAAGGAAGCAAAACAGAGCUAAAUGAAUCCUGUGCAAUGAGGAGGCAUUUUCAGGUAGUGGCCAGAAACUAGAAACUGCUCUUUUCUGGUUAAAAACGUUUGUGACCCAUAAAACCUUCUCACUGCUUACUAAAUAGCACAGUUCUGAGAUACAAACCAGCAAAUUUACAAAUCACAAUGCUUUUCCUGCUGAAUCAAUAGCUGUAGCAAAUAUAUAUAUGUAAAAUGCAAUGGAAAAAUGAAGACCUCUUUAGAAGCCUGCAGAAAAUUUAUACUAGAUAUGAAAGUUUGAGCAAUCACGUAAAAGCCCUAGUCCCUUAACAUUGCUUUUAAGGUCAUCAGUGUCCUGGACGUUGGUGACUUCCCUGCACCCAUUUCUUCACUCCCCACCUUGAACUUCAUGUUUAACUCUUAUUUCUUCCAGUACUUAGUGAACACUGUCUUCUCUCUAAGCCUUUUCCUGGAGGAACAUUCUCUUGUCUGACUUCCUAAGUCUGAGUUAAGUGGUCUCCUAUGUCUCCUCUAAUAAACUUAUUUUACCCUGUCA